UCCCUCGCUACAACUUGAUGAAGCUGCUACUGUUUGUCAUUAUUAUGUUAGGCAACAACUUGUAAAUCGAGAUGCUUUUUCGGAGGACAACUGGAAGAAGAUAUACUAUCUUGCCAAUGGCAAUGGAUCAGAGAUAAGACAGUUAAUGCCUUUCAUGAGAUGACCACAGAAAACAUUUUGUGCAACUUCUUGUGGUUCAGCAGAGUCCACUCUUUCACGCUUUGAUUUUGGUGAUUCUGUUCAAUGGCUGCUUUGCUGAUGUUUUCAUCAUACAAUUUUGACAAAGUUGGUGCUUCUCUGUUUUUAUUGGUUCGACUGGGGGAAUGUUUUUUAGCUUUCCCUUAUCUUUGAUCAGUUGGAAAUAGAUUUCGGAUCUUCCUUCUUGUUACAA